AAGCCGUUCUCAGUUCGGAUCGGAGUCUGCAACCCGACUCCGUGAAGCUGGAUUCGCUAGUAAUCGCGCAUCAGCCAUGGCGCGGUGAAUACGUUCCCGGGCCUUGUACACACCGCCCGUCAAGCCAUGAAAGCCGGGGGUACCUGAAGUACGUAACCGCAAGGAUCGUCCUAGGGUAAAACUGGUAAUUGGGGCUAAGUCGUAACAAGGUAGC
rnacentral:rRNA from 1 species